rnacentral:rRNA from 1 species
CGAGGACGAACGCUGGCGGCGUGCCUAACACAUGCAAGUCGAACGGAGUCAAGAAGCUUGCUUUUGACUUAGUGGCGGACGGGUGAGUAACGCGUGAGUAACCUGCCUCUGAGAGGGGAAUAACGUUCUGAAAAGAACGCUAAUACCGCAUAACGUAUCGAAGCCGCAUGACUUUGAUACCAAAGAUUUUAUCGCUCGGAGAUGGACUCGCGUCCGAUUAGUUAGUUGGUGAGGUAACGGCCCACCAAGACCGCGAUCGGUAGCCGGACUGAGAGGUUGAUCGGCCACAUUGGGACUGAGACACGGCCCAGACUCCUACGGGAGGCAGCAGUGGGGGAUAUUGCGCAAUGGGGGCAACCCUGACGCAGCAACGCCGCGUGAAGGAUGAAGGUUUUCGGACUGUAAACUUCUUUUAUCAGGGACGAAGCUUGACGGUACCUGAUGAAUAAGCUCCGGCUAACUACGUGCCAGCCGCUGC